rnacentral:rRNA from 1 species
CCUACGGGAGGCAGCAGUGGGGAAUUUUGGACAAUGGGGGAAACCCUGAUCCAGCAAUGCCGCGUGAGUGAGGAAGGCCUUCGGGUUGUAAAGCUCUUUUGUCAGGGAAGAAACACCGGCUCUAACACAGUCCGGGAAUGACGGUACCUGAAGAAUAAGUACCGGCUAACUACGUGCCAGCAGCCGCGGUAAUACGUAGGGUGCAAGCGUUAAUCGGAAUUACUGGGCGUAAAGCGUGCGCAGGCGGUUAUACAAGACAGGCGUGAAAUCCCCGGGCUUAACCUGGGAAUGGCGCCUGUGACUGUAUAGCUAGAGUGUGUCAGAGGGGGGUAGAAUUCCACGUGUAGCAGUGAAAUGCGUAGAUAUGUGGAGGAAUACCAAUGGCGAAGGCAGCCCCCUGGGAUAACACUGACGCUCAUGCACGAAAGCGUGGGGAGCAAACAGGAUUAGAUACCCUGGUAGUCCACGCCCUAAACGAUGCUGACUAGUUGUUCGGGAUUUACAUCCUGAGUAACGUAGCUAACGCGUGGAGUCAGCCGCCUGGGGAGUACGGUCGCAAGAUUAAAACUUAAAGGAAUUGACGG